rnacentral:rRNA from 1 species
GAGGAUACGGUUAACGGAGCGAAAGCGACGUUCAACCGCAAAAGAAGCAGAGGGGGCUUAGUGGUGGGGUGACUGCGUACCUUUUGUAUAAUGGGUCAGCGACUUAUAUUCUGUAGCAAGGUUAACCGAAUAGGGGAGCCGGAGGGAAACCGAGUCUUAAUUGGGCGUUAAGUUGCAGGGUAUAGACCCGAAACCCGGUGAUCUAGCCAUGGGCAGGUUGAAGGUUGGGUAACACUAACUGGAGGACCGAACCGACUAAUGUUGAAAAAUUAGCGGAUGACCUGUGGCUGGGGGUGAAAGGCCAAUCAAACCGGGAGAUAGCUGGUUCUCCCCGAAAGCUAUUUAGGUAGCGCCUCGUGAAUUCAUCUCCGGGGGUAGAGCACUGUUUCGGCUAGGGGGCCAUCCCGGCUUACCAACCCGAUGCAAACUGCGAAUACCGGAGAAUGUUAUCACGGGAGACACACGGCGGGUGCUAACGUCCGUCGUGAAGAGGGAAACAACCCAGACCGCCAGCUAAGGUCCCAAAGUCAUGGUUAAGUGGGAAACGAUGUGGGAAGGCCCAGACAGCCAGGAUGUUGGCUUAGAAGCAGCCAUCAUUUAAAGAAAGCGUAAUAGCUCACUGGUCGAGUCGGCCUGCGCGGAAGAUGUAACGGGGCUAAACCAU